UUAAGCGACUAAGCGUACACGGUGGAUGCCCUGGCAGUCAGAGGCGAUGAAGGACGUGCUAAUCUGCGAUAAGCGUCGGUAAGGUGAUAUGAACCGUUAUAACCGGCGAUUUCCGAAUGGGGAAACCCAGUGUGUUUCGACACACUAUCAUUAACUGAAUCCAUAGGUUAAUGAGGCGAACCGGGGGAACUGAAACAUCUAAGUACCCCGAGGAAAAGAAAUCAACCGAGAUUCCCCCAGUAGCGGCGAGCGAACGGGGAGCAGCCCAGAGCCUGAAUCAGUGUGUGUGUUAGUGGAAGCGUCUGGAAAGGCGCGCGAUACAGGGUGACAGCCCCGUACACAAAAAUGCACAUGCUGUGAGCUCGAUGAGUAGGGCGGGACACGUGGUAUCCUGUCUGAAUAUGGGGGGACCAUCCUCCAAGGCUAAAUACUCCUGACUGACCGAUAGUGAACCAGUACCGUGAGGGAAAGGCGAAAAGAACCCCGGCGAGGGGAGUGAAAAAGAACCUGAAACCGUGUACGUACAAGCAGUGGGAGCACGCUUAGGCGUGUGACUGCGUACCUUUUGUAUAAUGGGUCAGCGACUUAUAUUCUGUAGCAAGGUUAACCGAAUAGGGGAGCCGAAGGGAAACCGAGUCUUAACUGGGCGUUAAGUUGCAGGGUAUAGACCCGAAACCCGGUGAUCUAGCCAUGGGCAGGUUGAAGGUUGGGUAACACUAACUGGAGGACCGAACCGACUAAUGUUGAAAAAUUAGCGGAUGACUUGUGGCUGGGGGUGAAAGGCCAAUCAAACCGGGAGAUAGCUGGUUCUCCCCGAAAGCUAUUUAGGUAGCGCCUCGUGAAUUCAUCUCCGGGGGUAGAGCACUGUUUCGGCAAGGGGGUCAUCCCGACUUACCAACCCGAUGCAAACUGCGAAUACCGGAGAAUGUUAUCACGGGAGACACACGGCGGGUGCUAACGUCCGUCGUGAAGAGGGAAACAACCCAGACCGCCAGCUAAGGUCCCAAAGUCAUGGUUAAGUGGGAAACGAUGUGGGAAGGCCCAGACAGCCGGAUGUUGGCUUAGAAGCAGCCAUCAUUUAAAGAAAGCGUAAUAGCUCACUGGUCGAGUCGGCCUGCGCGGAAGAUGUAACGGGGCUAAACCAUGCACCGAAGCUGCGGCAGCGACGCUUAUGCGUUGUUGGGUAGGGGAGCGUUCUGUAAGCCUGUGAAGGUGUGCUGUGAGGUAUGCUGGAGGUAUCAGAAGUGCGAAUGCUGACAUAAGUAACGAUAAAGCGGGUGAAAAGCCCGCUCGCCGGAAGACCAAGGGUUCCUGUCCAACGUUAAUCGGGGCAGGGUGAGUCGACCCUAAGGCGAGGCCGAAAGGCGUAGUCGAUGGGAAACAGGUUAAUAUUCCUGUACUUGGUGUUACUGCGAAGGGGGGACGGAGAAGGCUAUGUUGGCCGGGCGACGGUUGUCCCGGUUUAAGCGUGUAGGCUGGUUUUCCAGGCAAAUCCGGAAAAUCAAGGCUGAGGCGUGAUGACGAGGCACUACGGUGCUGAAGCAACAAAUGCCCUGCUUCCAGGAAAAGCCUCUAAGCAUCAGGUAACAUCAAAUCGUACCCCAAACCGACACAGGUGGUCAGGUAGAGAAUACCAAGGCGCUUGAGAGAACUCGGGUGAAGGAACUAGGCAAAAUGGUGCCGUAACUUCGGGAGAAGGCACGCUGAUAUGUAGGUGAAGCGACUUGCUCGUGGAGCUGAAAUCAGUCGAAGAUACCAGCUGGCUGCAACUGUUUAUUAAAAACACAGCACUGUGCAAACACGAAAGUGGACGUAUACGGUGUGACGCCUGCCCGGUGCCGGAAGGUUAAUUGAUGGGGUCAGCGCAAGCGAAGCUCUUGAUCGAAGCCCCGGUAAACGGCGGCCGUAACUAUAACGGUCCUAAGGUAGCGAAAUUCCUUGUCGGGUAAGUUCCGACCUGCACGAAUGGCGUAAUGAUGGCCAGGCUGUCUCCACCCGAGACUCAGUGAAAUUGAACUCGCUGUGAAGAUGCAGUGUACCCGCGGCAAGACGGAAAGACCCCGUGAACCUUUACUAUAGCUUGACACUGAACAUUGAGCCUUGAUGUGUAGGAUAGGUGGGAGGCUUGGAAGUGUGGACGCCAGUCUGCAUGGAGCCGACCUUGAAAUACCACCCUUUAAUGUUUGAUGUUCUAACGUUGACCCGUAAUCCGGGUUGCGGACAGUGUCUGGUGGGUAGUUUGACUGGGGCGGUCUCCUCCUAAAGAGUAACGGAGGAGCACGAAGGUUGGCUAAUCCUGGUCGGACAUCAGGAGGUUAGUGCAAUGGCAUAAGCCAGCUUGACUGCGAGCGUGACGGCGCGAGCAGGUGCGAAAGCAGGUCAUAGUGAUCCGGUGGUUCUGAAUGGAAGGGCCAUCGCUCAACGGAUAAAAGGUACUCCGGGGAUAACAGGCUGAUACCGCCCAAGAGUUCAUAUCGACGGCGGUGUUUGGCACCUCGAUGUCGGCUCAUCACAUCCUGGGGCUGAAGUAGGUCCCAAGGGUAUGGCUGUUCGCCAUUUAAAGUGGUACGCGAGCUGGGUUUAGAACGUCGUGAGACAGUUCGGUCCCUAUCUGCCGUGGGCGCUGGAGAACUGAGGGGGGCUGCUCCUAGUACGAGAGGACCGGAGUGGACGCAUCACUGGUGUUCGGGUUGUCAUGCCAAUGGCACUGCCCGGUAGCUAAAUGCGGAAGAGAUAAGUGCUGAAAGCAUCUAAGCACGAAACUUGCCCCGAGAUGAGUUCUCCCUGACUCCUUGAGAGUCCUGAAGGAACGUUGAAGACGACGACGUUGAUAGGCCGGGUGUGUAAGCGCAGCGAUGCGUUGAGCUAACCGGUACUAAUGAACCGUGAGGCUUAACCU
rnacentral:rRNA from 1 species